ensembl:snRNA U6 U6 spliceosomal RNA
AGAACAUACUGUAUACUAAAUUUGGAAUGAUACAUAGAAGGCUAGUAUGGCUUCUGCUCAAGUAUGAUAUGCAAAAAAGUGAAGAUUGAGCUCUAUUC